UCGAGUCGAGUCGAGUCAGCAGUUUCACUCGAGUCAAGUCGAGUCAUUGGUUUAAGUCGAGUCGAGUCAAUAGCUAGACUUAACUUGAGUAAGGGAAUUUGAUCAAGUCCACCCACAUCCUUGUCCCCAGGGCCUCUCGGCCGCGCGCGUCCUCCCUAGGCCCUGGAACAUACGGAACCGGAAGUGUACGUAAACUUGCAGUAGUUUCUAAAGCGCAUGGUCUUGAAUUGGGACACUUUAGCACCCGUAACAAUUUUCAAAGUGAAGUAUUACGAAGAAACGAAGUAUUUGCGUUGACAUAUGUUGAUAGAAUAAUUUUUCCUAGCUAAAACUGCUCAACUUCUGCG